ACGAAUCCAGCUGCAGAUCCUGUCGAUAAGCUGUCGUGCCUGCAAAAGUGCCCACUGUAGAUUCAAACUCUUACAUCUUUUUAAGCAAAACUAGCCUAAUUGGGUCAGAUGCUAGAAUGGUAAAAUUUCGUUUAAUUUCCACUUUAAGCUUGUAUACAUCUAACAGUGCUGUGUUCUUCAGCCUGGGCUUAUGACUCAGUAUCAUCCACCUGUAAAGAUCAGGCUUUAUACACACAACACCAUAGGAUCUGGUCUAACACCAGGCAAUCUUCGCUCCCUUUUCAAAACUGCAAGACAACAAUAUUUCUCCUGCACCCAGAUCUGAUUCUUCAUCCCUUUCUGAGGCUUAACUCCCAUGAAACUCCAAACACAGAACUGAGCCUAUAACAGCAAAAACUGGGACAAAAGUCUAGAAGAAGCAGUUUAGUCUGAAAAACAAAGAAAGAAACAGUUGUAGUAAGGAGGGAGCAAUAGAAGGCCAUUACUUUUAGUGACUUAAAAUAAAGCAGCAUUUUACAGCUUUGCCUUAUCUUAUUCUGAAACUUUUCUAUUAUUCAGCUUCUUUUAAAAUAACUUUUUCAUUGAUUGAUUAUGAAACUUUUCUAUAAGAGUAAGGCAAUGACAGGGGAAAUAGCGGCAGGGUGAUAUG